rnacentral:lncRNA from 1 species
UUUUUUUUUUUUUAUGCUAAGCCAGUGGCAUAUGGAAGUUCCCAGUUGUUACUGCUUCUGUUGGUAAGACCAUUUUCUCUUGGGUUCUAUUCCCUUUACAGUGGCCAAGUAUUGAUCAAGAGCUCUUACGGUUACAAAUAAUCUUCCACACCAUAGUUCCUAUUAUGAGGGAAAACUCCGGUCCCAUGGCAAAGCCAGUGGUGUCAGCCUGCACCAUGGAUUCCUUCCUCCCCUAUAAGUAAUGCUACUGUCCAGGUCAGUGGAUCUGACCAUCAGAUGCCUGUGGCCACCUAACCUCUUACUCACUGCCCCCUCCCAUUACAGCAUCUAAACAAUUGAGAAGUGGACAGAAGAGCUACGUGGGAUCAAUUUUCCAACAUGGUUAAUGGUGGAUCAGCGAGAGGAACUGGUCACAGUGCGAUAUCCUCUUUCCUCCUCCUCGAUGCGAAGGAAGCAGGGCUCGGCCUCUCACCCUCCCUGUGCAGGUACAAAAGCGAGCACCAGAAUGCAUCUCCUUUAUCGACUACCUGUCAGAACACAGGCGGGGACACCUGAGAUAAGGCCACAGAGGAAGAGAGAGAGGAGAGGAGAGGACAAGCCAGAAAGCAUGCUUGGAUGGUAACCUUUAAUAUGGCAAAACCACCAAUUACUAAUUUAGGAUAGUCGUCUAUUUUUUUUAAUAUUUUUAUCACUUAAAAAUUAAAUAAAUAAAAUCAUUCUAUUGCGUGAAAUAGCAGAUUGAGUCAAACAGCAGAUUCCGAGGUGUAUCUCCAUCUGGAUAGACCUGGCUAUUUGUUCAUUGUUUUCCAGUGAGGCAGACACUGUUGCUUGGCAGUCAUGUCUGAAGGGUCAUUUCCAGGCCCUACUACCUUAGCUACAUUUUCAGUAUUGCUCUAAAAGCUAAAACUUGAUCUCCUGGCCUGCCCUGAAUUAGAGCUGGCCUUGUGACAGUCCAGGUGUGGCCAGCAGGAGACAGGAAAUCACCCCUGGGGAAGGAGUCUGUGGUAGGCAGAAUAAUGCCCCCACAGUUCUCCAUGUCUUAAGCACUGGAAUUUGUGAAUAUGUUUCCGUCUCUAGAGAGAGGGACUCUGCAGAGGGGUUAAAGGCAAGGACCUUGAGAUGGGGAGAUCCUUCUGGAUGAUCCAGGUAGGUCCCAUGUUCCCCCAAGGGUCCUUAUAAGUGAAAGAGGAGCAGGAGACUCAGAGAAGGAGACGUGACCACAGCAGCAUCAGGGCGAUGGGAUGAGAGACUCAACCAGCCACUGCUGGUUUUGAACCUUGGAAGGAUUCACAAGCCAAGGCAUGCGGGUGGCCUCUGAGGCUAGAAAAAUCAAGGAUAUGGAUUCUCCCCUCGAGUCUUCAGAAAAAAAGCCCACCCCACACCUCUCCUUUAGCCUCCUGGGAAUCCUUUUGGACUUCUGACUCUACCCUUGGGUUGUUUUUAGCCACUGCUGUUUUUGUGUGAAGUCUGUGGCCGUUUGUUCCAGCCGCCAUUAGGAACCACACAGUGCCUCUUCCCAAAUAAACAAGCUUUGCCCUCUCUCUCCUUCCGCCUUCUUGCUGCAUGGGCUGUGGACUCAGGAUCCAGCAGGAGGGCAGCCUUCUUGCAGGUUUCCAGCAACCCCCAAGGAUGAAAGAUGCAUGCUCAGGAGGGCAGAGCAGAGCCAGCAUCUCUGGUGGCUUCACCGAGCCACCAGCCCUGGGCUGCCCACCUCUCAACUUCCUGUCACAGGAGACAAAUACAAUGUGGUAUGUUUAAGUCACUGUAGCAGGACUUUGAGCAGUGGUGUCCCGGGGCUGACUCAACCAGCUCCUGCGAAGGAGGUUGUCAAAAUUUUCGGAACUUCAUGGGCCAGUUGUUAAACAUGGACAUUAUUAAAAACCAAGUUAUACAACCUUACAACCAAAUAAAUCACAUUAAAAAGAAAGUUAAUAGACACUCAGAACUCUUUGAUUUCUAAGUAUUUUACGAGUUUUACUACUAUCUGUGUUCUGGAGACUACUGUAUGUGAAGGGUGGAGACAUCAUAUUUCUCCCAGUUCUGUCUCAUGUACACAGAAUACACUAUGCAUCAUCGCCACGCCACAUUCAGUUCCAUCUCACUGGAAGCUUACAACCAGCCAUGGUGGGAGUAAUUGAAUGAUGGAAAUCAGCAAACACUACAAAUCAGGGUUUUAUUUUUCUCCAGAGAGUUAAUUGUUAAUAAUUUACUGAUCUGCCCCUGGAUUUGUGUUUCUGCAGCCAAAUGCCUUUCUAAUUGAUGCAUCCCUAAUGCUUUUUAAUGAUACUUGUCAGCUCAAAUUGUAUUUGCAGGGGACUGGAUUCUCCUUGUUUCUCUUUUAAAUAAAAGAUCUGGGAGUUUCCCGUCGUGGCUCGGGCGGAAACAAAGCUGACUAGGAUUCAUGAGGAUGAAGGUUCAAUCCCUGGCCUCACUCAGUGGGUUAAGGAUCCGGCAUUGCUGUGAGCUGUGGCAUGGGUUACAGAUGCGGCUCGGAUCUGAUGUUGCUGUGGCUGUGGUGUAGGCCAGUAGCAGCAGCUCUGAUUCAACACUUAUUCUGGGAACCUCCAUAUGCUGCAGGGGCAGCCC